CCCGGCAGAGCUUGUGUUUGCCCAUACUGUGCGUGGCCCACUGAAACUGCUUCAGGAAAAGUGGGUUGGUCACUCGGAGCCUCAGAAUCUGCUUGACUAUGUGUGCAAUUUUCGUGAAAAACUUCACCGUGCCUGUGAGCUGGCUAAAGAGAGCAUGGCUGUUGCGCAGGGAAAAAUGAAACGCUGGUUUGACAAAGAUGCACAGAGCCGUAAGUUCAGCCCCGGUGAUAAGGUGUUGGUGUUGCUGCCCAUUCCUGGCUCCUCGUUGCAGGCACGUUACAGUGGGCCGUAUGUUGUCCAGGAGAAGGUCAGUGAACGUGACUAUGUGGUGGCGACCCCGGACCGCAGACGGCGGAAUAGGCUUUGUCAUAUUAACAUGCUGAAGCCUUAUAUGGAAAGGGAGUCUGUUUCACCAUCCCCUGUUGUGCUGAAAUCUGUGGUAGCGCUGUCCGGUGCUGAAGUUAUUGAUCAGGCUGAGGCCGCUGCGGCACUGUCCGGUGCUGAUCUGCUGGAGUCUGCAGAUUUGGAUUGUGAUGUUGCCUUGUCCAACGCUGUUGUUCAUGGCCGUUUAAAAAACUCUGAAAUGUUAGCUAACCUUAAUGGUUGCGUUUCGCAUCUCUCCCCAUCUCAGCGUGAGGAUGUAGUCCGUUUGAUUAAUUUGCAUAUGUCAUUGUUUUCGGAUGUGCCUUCCCAGACCCAUGUGUUGCAGCAUGAUGUCGAUGUAGGAGAUACCGCUCCAAUAAAACAACAUGCUUACAGGGUUAAUCCAGCUAGACGAGUACGCUUGCAGGAACAAGUGGACUACAUGUUGGGGCAUGGCAUUGCAGAGCCUAGUUGUAGUCCGUGGAGUUCUCCCUGCCUGUUGGCUAUAAAAUCUGACGGCUCUGACAGGUUCUGUACCGAUUUUAGAAAGGUGAACGGAGUCACUAAGCCAGAUUGUUUUCCUCUUCCUCGAGUUGAGGAUUGUGUAGAUCAUGUUGGCGGUGCUAAGUAUGUGACGAAGCUGGACCUUUUAAAGGGAUAUUGGCAGGUGCCGCUGACUCCUCGGGCGAAGGAAAUUUCUGCUUUUGUGACUCCGGACGCCUUUCUCCAGUAUACAGUGAUGCCAUUCGGCAUGCGUAACGCACCAGCAACUUUCCAGCGGCUGGUGAACAUUGUGCUGUCAGGUAUUUCUGGUUGUGAAGCGUAUUUAGACGACAUUGUUGUAUACUCGGGGUCCUGGGUUGAGCACAUUCAGCAGCUCUUUUCUGUGUUUGGGCGUUUGCGUGAUGCUAAUUUGACUUUGAACCUUGCUAAGUGCGAGUUUGGCCAGGCUACGAUCACUUAUUUGGGCAAAGUGGUUGGUCGGGGCCAGGUCAGGCCCGUGCACUCGAAGGUAGAGGGCAUUCUCUCCUUUCCUAUUCCUAGCUCGCGACGGG
rnacentral:lncRNA from 1 species